AACGGCCGUACCAUGCUGAAUAUACCGGUUCUCGUUAGAUCACCGAAGUUAAGCAUCAUUGGGCGCGGUCAGUACUUGGGUGGGUGACCACCCGGGAACACUGAGUGCCGUU
rnacentral:rRNA from 1 species